CUGACCUCUGACCCGUUUUCUGACCAGGAAUACCUGAUUCUGCCUCCCCCCUGUCUGCUUUAUCACCUAACCUUGUCUUGGCUCUCCAGUUCCCCACAGCCUCAGUGGACCUCUUUCCGCCCUCUCGGUGCGGAGAUCUCCCUGCUCCCUCUAUUCCUUCUGCCGGCUAGUGGGCGACGUGACCAGACCCGGUUUACCUGGACACAAUUCAC